AGAUAUAAAUAAACUGACUCCAAAAUGUUUACGGAAAGGCAAAGAAAUGUGAAUAGCCCAGACAAUUUUGAAAAAGAAGAAGGUUGAAGGAAUCUACCCUGAAUAGAGAGAAAUGAGCAAAAACAAUUUGAUAGACAAAUAAGAGUCUUCUCAACAGCAGUGUUAGAACCACUCGACACCCUGUGCCAGAGAAAAAGACAGCAAAGAAGAGAGGAGGAAGAACUCUGAGAUAAAAUCUAGCACCUUAGACGGAAAUUAGUGCAAAAGGAAUCAUAAAGCUACACGUAAAAGUAAAAACAUGAGAGGAAAGCUUUAUGGUCUGGGUUAAGCAGCAGUUCCCAUGCAUGGCACCCAAAGCAUGAAGUGCAGAAACGAUGGGCUUCCUCACACUUAAACACUUCUCACCUCCUUAAAGAGUGUAAAAAGAGGAAAAAGGACAGGCCACAGACUGAGAGAAAAAUACUUGCAAAUCACAUAUUCAAUGAAGGAUCUUUGAACUACAACGUAAGAAAUGAUCCAAUCAAAAACUAGACAAAAGACUGGAACAUAGAUGUCACUAAAGGAGAUGGAUGGAUGGUAAACAGCCCCACGGCAAAUGCCCAACCCCAUUAGCCACAGCACACCUACGAGAAUGGCCCCAAGGAAGUCUUGGAAACACCAAAUGCGGGUGAGAACACGAAGCCAUCGGAAGUCCCAUCCGCUCCUGGUGGGAACGCAAAGGGUACAGCCAGCCUGGAAAACAGUUUGGCAGUUUCUAAACAGCGAAACACACACCCUCUGAGUCUGUUGGUGUGUCCCCCUCCUGAGCACUUACCCUAGAGAAAGGGACAAUUAAGUUCACAGAAGCCCCAGGCCAGGAACUUUUACUGCAGCUCAAAACACAACCACAAGACAGAGGAAACCCCGGGUCCUUCACCGGGUGGAGGCUCACAACGGAGCGCUACUCCCCAAAAGGUACAUGAGCCGCUACUGCAAGAAGCUGAAUCUCCGGGGCGGCUGCCGAGGGAAAGUCCGUCUCCAAAGGACACUUCGUGCAUGACGACAUGUGCGUGGCGUCCUCGGAAGGCAGAAUGGUAGCGCUGGAGAACAGACCAGGGGUCACCAGGGAGACCACGCGGGAGGCAUGUGAGAGUCCCGAUGGCAGGGCUGUCAGUACAGAUCCAAGAGUGUGGUUGAAAUUCACAGAACCGGACCCCAAAGAGGUCACGCUGACUCCUCCUUAAUGUAAAAAAGGAAAUUUAGAAAACAAGGAAAAAAAAAAAAAGAACUGGAUUCAAGUACCAGUCUGCAGAUAGACAUCAUGGAAAAAUCCUUCCUCACCAGCUAACUGCAUGCAAGGAUGAAUUGUGGCUGCCUUUUUUUUUCCUCUUUCUCUUUUUUUAGGGCUGCGCCUGUGGCAUGUGGAAGUUCCCAGGCUAGGGGUUGAAUCAGAGCUACAGCUGCCUGCCUACACCACAGCCACAGCCACACCGGAUCUGUGACCUACGCUGCAGCUUGCGGCAAUGCUGGAUCCUUCACCCACUGAGUGAGGCCAGGGAUCGAACCCACAUCCUCAGAGUCCUUAACUUGCUGAGCCACAACGGGAACUCCUUGAGGUCAAAGCUCACUGAGUUCACUUGUGAGCAGCAAUGGCACAGAAACAGGUGGGCAAGAAAGAGGGCAGAGAAUGUCUGCGCUGGGAUCAACUCUCCCAGCCCACCCGCCGCAGCUGGGGUCCAGGGGAGGACAUUUCCACGAGCAGCGGGUAGCGAACGACUAUGACCAGGUCCGCUGCUUUCCGUUUUCGCUGAUUCUCUGUCCCAAACAACAAAGGAGUCUGUCACUGGGUCGUUUUGCAAGGUUCCCCCCCCCCGCCCGCUGCCACCAGGGACCUUCAGGACAAUCAAUACCCAACUGCCUCUCACUGCCUGCUCGCCAAACCCACCUCGCCAGCUGAGUCACAGCGCGCCCCUGCCAGCCCUCCAAGGACCCACUCCUAUGCCAUCUGGCUCCAGGCUUCCCCUCACCCCCAUCUCAGUCCUUUGCUGCCAGAAUCUUCCAGACACCGGUGCUCCCUCUGCCUUCCCUUCACACACACACUCUCUCUCUCUCUCUCUCUCUCUCUCUCUCUCUCAGGGCUGUGAUGACAGUGGCACCAAUCAAUUGGCCUGGUUUUCCAGACUGGGAUCUUGGUUCUCUGAUGCUGGUGGAUAACAGAGGGAAGAGCCAGCUGCCCGUCACAUGGGAGCAUCGGAUAAACAGUGAUGGUGUGAGACAUACUUACAUGGAAGCUCAUCAGUCGUUUAUCUGAAAUUCACCUAGCAGGUGUCCCUAGGAUUGGCCAUCCUGGAUGGAGGGAGCGUUCCUGGUCCACCCAGGCCAUGGCAUCUUUGGUGGACCGAAACGAAGAGCUCAGCCCCACAGGAUGCCCUCCUGCCAUGGGCGCUAGGUGGCCACCCUGCCAGAUCAGAGCCCGAGGCUCUAUGACCCCACUGUCACACCCCGCCCCAAGUAAGAGCGGGAGCUCUGCACCUGCUCCAGAGGCAUGGCUCCCUCCAGGCUCCAGAUCUCGCUUUGCCCCCACCCAGGGCUCCCAGUCAGACAGUGACCUGAGGUUGGCAUGGCCACUUUCAGCUGCGUGACUUUGAACACGUCUCUGCCUCACCCUGAGCCACCGCAAAGGAGGCUGAUGACCUGUCCUGCCCUCCCCAUGGGACUCUGUGGACCAUGGAACCUCUGGGCCAUCCCUAGGGAUUGGCAGAGCCCCCCUCAAAUGUCAGCUGCUCUCGUCGUCACCGUCCACAGGCCAUACUGCCUUUUCUCUCUUCAUGCUGCACCUGCAACUGGUCACCAGUCCAUCCAUUCCAUCUCUGUCACACGUCACAAGUUCCUCCUCUGAGUUCCCGUUGUGGCUUAGUGGGUUAAAAACCCUACCGGUAUCCUUGAGGAUGCAGGUUUGAUCCUUGGCCUCGCUCAGUGGGUGAAGGAUCCCACGUUGCCACAAGAUGUGGCUCUGAUCUACCAUGGGUCACAACUGCAGCUCCAACUCAACCCUAGUCCAGGAACUUCCACAUGCCGCAGGUGCACCGAUAAGAAGAAAGACAAACGGCAUUCCUCCUCUUUCCUUCCUCACCCACAGCCUCCUGCGGAGAGGAACCCCUCAGAAUGUGGCACCCACAGAGUGGAACCCACAGGGACCUGGCCACACGAAAGGCUCCUUCUGCUCUGUCAGCCACGGCCGUCACCCCCCACACACACAGUAGGUGCGCUGACAAUGUCUGUCGGAAGUGAGCAUCUCCAGGAAGCCAUGCGAGGCAGGUGGCAGCGGGGAGCAGAAGCAAGCACUGCACGUACUCAGUGACCUCGGCGCUGGGGCGCGAGGCCUCCUCUGGGAGCAGAGCCUGUCCCACUUUCCGGGAUGAGAACUACAGAAUCAGCGUUUCCCUUUCCGCCCAGCUUGUCAGACACACAAAGGCAAAGCUGAUGUCCCCUGGCGGCAUGUAGACUUGUUUCACGGCUGACACAUCCCCUCCCUCUGUGUCCCCGGCCCAGCUGGCUCUCUGUUCCUAUACUGGCCUGGUACCCAGGCUGCAACACAACCGAUGAGACCCAGGGAAAUGUGAGUGCCUGGGCAGCAGGGUCGGGGCACCACAGACAGGGCGGGGAAGGGACCCUCUCGAGCCGCCAGGAUCUCGGACGGGCCGCAUGUGGGAGCCUAUCUGGAGGGCAGUGUUUUUGCAAGGCCAACUCUGCAUGCGAGCAAACACAAGGGGCUCAUACAGGGCCUCGCAGGGCCACGAUGGGACACCCUGCUCCAAGUCACCCCAGGACUCCAAGGGCCACCAGCACAUCUCACUGGGUCUUCCUUGUUUUCUUCUUUUUUUGUCUUUUUAGGGCCGCACCUGCGGCAUAUGGACCUUCCUGGGCCAGGGAUCGAAUCAGAGCUGCAGCUGCGAUCUGCACCACAGCCACAGGAUGCAGGAUCCAAGCUGCAUCGAGACCUACACCACAGCUCGCGGCAAUGUUGGGUCCUUAGCCAGCGAGUGAGGCCAGGGAUUGAACCCGCAUCCUCAUGGAGACAACACAAGGUCCUUAACCUGCUAAGCCGCAACGGGAACUCCUUUCCUCGACUGUUCAUCGAUGGGGAACUUGGGUUCUGAGGUGACAGGCAAAGCAGACGGGAUGACGGCAGAGGUCCCUCCCUGCCGUGAGACGUGAGCGGGCCCAGCUCAGGGGUCGGCCGGAGGAGCCCGUGCGUGGUCCCAGAUGGCCUGUGCUCGGCCUCCCUGACCUGUCCCAGCCCAGCAGCCAGUGCACCUCAAAUGCAGACACAGAGGGAGGGGUGUGGAAGGACGGGCAUGGCCUUUUACAAAACUCAGAGGCGACAGGUCAGAUGUCACACCCUGGUCACCAGACCCCCUUCCUCCCUCACCACCUCAGGCUCCCUCAUCUCUGAGCUGCAGUGGUUCUGGUUAAAAUGACAACACCAAACACAAAAUCACCCCACCCCAACGAUGUCCGCGGGCUCCUUGUUCAGCCACCCGCUCAUGGACAUCCCGCCGCCCCCACGCGCCCUGGAGUGCAUGCUUCAUCACGCUGCGGGGCCUCUGCUGGGUUGGGUCCCUCCCCUGCAUACGUGGCGCACAGCUUGUGCCCUGUGAUGACGGCUGCCAGGAGGAGACCCUGACACUCACCGGGGAGCUGGAGUGACAAGAAGAGGCCGGAAGAAAGGAGGACAGAGACAAGGGACGGGGAAGAGAGGCGGCUGCAGCCAAACGCGUUGUUGACCGCCAGCAGCUUCAGCUGAAGCAUCGCUUUGGUAGCUGCUCUAAGUCACCUUGAAGACAACCUGGGCAGCUGAAGGAGGGCAGGAAGUUCAGUGCUCUCAGGGGAUCACUGUCGGUUUGGUUGGGAAGGAGGACGAGAGGAUGGCCAGGAGCAAGUCAGCCCGGCUCUGAGUCAGCAGUGCAGGUGGAAGACUUUGCAAAUGCACGGAGAGCAUGUGGGCUUUACCCAUAAAACAAUCAAAAAGCCAACACACACACACACACACACGUUUUCUGUAUGUUUGAAACCUGCCAUCAUAGUUUUUAAAAGGAGAAAAUACUCCAUUUUUUAAAGUCAGAGUCAUCCACUGAAUAGAAUUAAGUGGGUCUUCACAUCAAAGGCUGUUCAUUACCGAGGUCCGGCCGUCCCCUGAAAAGUGAUCUUUUCCAAGAUUAUCUUUUUCUGGAGUUCCCUGGUGGCAGAGCAGUAAAGGAUCUGGGUUGUCACUGCUGUGGCGCAGGUCGCUGCUGUGGCUUGGGUUUGCUCCCUGGCCAGGGAAUGUCCACAUGCC
rnacentral:lncRNA from 1 species